CGUCCAGGUUCUGGUUCCUCCAGGUUCUGGUUCCUCCAGGUUCUGGUUCCUCCAGGUUCCUCCAUUUUGAGUGGAACCGGAUCUUUAAUGGGCCGAUUAUCUGAGCCGAUUAUGACAGGAGUUCAUGGAGGAUCCAAUCAAAACGUCUCACAGUGCAGGACGGGUCGACGGUGAUGAACAUGAGGAUGAUGAAGAUGCUGAAAUGGGUCGAGUCUCUCCCAGCCGUCGGAUCCAAAGCGGUUUGCUGGGCCGGCCGGUUUCCGCUCCAUUACUGCGGCUGACAGAGCAUCUGGAUCUACGGGGUGAACUAAAGGUCACUUGUUGACCUGCGUGCCAAGAAACUUCAAUUUAUGCAAAGCUUCUCGGAGUCAAGAGUCCAAUAAUCAUUAGUUGUUUAUAGGAGGCAGGAAAUGAGCUCACCUUGAAAUUAAAGUUACCUUUGACUGGAGGGGAGAAACGCUGAGUGUCAAAUGUCCGACUGUUACCUUCAGAUACUUUGCUGCUGGAUUUAAAUGCUUUAGAUUCAGCAGGUUCAACUCAUUCAGGGGAGGAGCAGAAAUAUAUGGAGGAGAGGAGGGGAGAGGAGGGGAGGGGAGGGGAAAGGAGAGGAGAGGAGCAAAAGGGAGGAGAGGCUCAUCAACAUGAGGCUGCACCACAGAUGGGAGGACAUGAAAAGUGACAAGGAUUUUAAAAAGACUCUGGAGUUCAGCAGGAACAUCUCAAUAUUCCUCAAUGUGACGAAGAAAAAGCUAAAAGGCCAUGGAGGAGCCCAAACAUUAGCUUGAUUUACAGCGGUGGCAACAGCAAAGCGGCUUUCCAGCCUGAUCCUGAUCAGGACAAAAACAGGAGAGACGAUGUUUUACUGUCAGAGGGUUGGAAGGAGAAAUGCUGAGUCAUGGAAACCAUCGUGAGUUACAACCGUUACACAAAUGUUCAAAAUUACAUAUGUAAUUAUGUAAUUAUUGCUACAAGAACAUUUCACCGUGUCAAGUGAAAAUAGUUCAUCUCAUGAUUCCAUGAAUCCAACAUAAAGCAGUGGAAAUGCGGCGCCAUAGUUUGUAUUAAUCAUUAUUUUAUUACCAGGAGCAAAGAUAUGCAUUAAAUUUACUGCAACUCAUAAAUGAAGACAGAAAAUUUCUGCAGAGCAACAAACAGAGAUUUUCUGUCCAAACACAUUUUAUGAAAACAUGGAUCCACUUAUAGAUUCACUAAGAGACACAUGAAGCUGUGUUACAUAGGAAAACAGCAGGCUGAGUCACUGCACACACACACACACACACACA